rnacentral:rRNA from 1 species
GAUGAACGCUGGCGGCGUGCCUAAUACAUGCAAGUCGAGCGAACAGACGAGGAGCUUGCUCCUCUGACGUUAGCGGCGGACGGGUGAGUACACGUGGAUAACCUACCUAUAAGACUGGGAUAACUUCGGGAAACCGGAGCUAAUACCGGAUAAUAUAUUGAACCGCAUGGUUCAAUAGUGAAAGACGGUUUUGCUGUCACUUAUAGAUGGAUCCGCGCCGCAUUAGCUAGUUGGUAAGGUAACGGCUUACCAAGGCAACGAUGCGUAGCCGACCUGAGAGGGUGAUCGGCCACACUGGAACUGAGACACGGUCCAGACUCCUACGGGAGGCAGCAGUAGGGAAUCUUCCGCAAUGGGCGAAAGCCUGACGGAGCAACGCCGCGUGAGUGAUGAAGGUCUUCGGAUCGUAAAACUCUGUUAUUAGGGAAGAACAAAUGUGUAAGUAACUAUGCACGUCUUGACGGUACCUAAUCAGAAAGCCACGGCUAACUACGUG